rnacentral:rRNA from 1 species
AUUGAACGCUGGCGGCAUGCCUAACACAUGCAAGUCGAGCGAGCGGCGGACGGGUGAGUAAUGUAUCGGAACUGCCCGAUAGAGGGGGAUAACUACUGGAAACGGUGGCUAAUACCGCAUACUAUCGGAUAACCCAUAUGGGAUUAGCUAGUAGGUGGGGUAAAGGCUCCCCUAGGCGACGAUCUCUAGCUGGUUUGAGAGGAUGACCAGCCACACGGGGACGGAGACAAGGCCCAGACUCCUACGGAGGCAGCAGUGGGGAAUAUUGGACAAUGGGCGCAAGCCUGAUGCAGCCAGCCCGCGUGUAUGAAGAAGGCCUUAGGGUUGGAAAGUACUUUUGGCGGGGAAGCGUUACCCGCAGAAGAAGCACCGGCUAACUACGUGCCAGCAGCAGCGGUAAUAC